rnacentral:rRNA from 1 species
UGCGUAGGCGGGUCUUUAAGUCAGGGGUGAAAUCCUGGAGCUCAACUCCAGAACUGCCUUUGAUACUGAGGAUCUUGAGUUCGGGAGAGGUGAGUGGAACUGCGAGUGUAGAGGUGAAAUUCGUAGAUAUUCGCAAGAACACCAGUGGCGAAGGCGGCUCACUGGCCCGAUACUGACGCUGAGGCACGAAAGCGUGGGGAGCAAACAGGAUUAGAUACCCUGAUAGUCCACGCCGUAAACGAUGAAUGCCAGCCGUUAGUGGGUUUACUCACUAGUGGCGCAGCUAACGCUUUAAGCAUUCCGCCUGGGGAGUACGGUCGCAAGAUUAAA